rnacentral:rRNA from 1 species
CCUACGGGGGACAGCAGUGAGGAAUAUUGGUCAAUGGGCGCGAGCCUGAACCAGCGAAGUAGCGUGAAGGAUGAAUGCCCUACGGGUUGUAAACUUCUUUUAUAAGGGAAUAAAGUGAGGCACGUGUGCCUUUUUGUAUGUACUUUAUGAAUAAGGAUCGGCUAACUCCGUGCCAGCAGCCGCGGUAAUACGGAGGAUCCGAGCGUUAUCCGGAUUUAGUGGGUUUAAAGGGAGCGUAGAUGGGUUGUUAAGUCAGUUGUGAAAGUUUGCGGCUCAACCGUAAAAUUGCAAUUGAUACUGGCAGGCUUGAGUACAGUUGAGGUAGGCGGAAUUCGUGGUGUAGCGGUGAAAUGCUUAGAUAUCACGAAGAACUCCGAUGGCGAAGGCAGCUUACUAAACUGCCACUGACGUUGAUGCUCGAAAGUGUGGGUAUCAAACAGGAUUAGAUACCCCUGUAGUC